GCACAAGCGGCGGAGCAUGUGGAUUAAUUCGAUGCAACGCGAAGAACCUUACCUGGGCUUGACAUACACCGGAUCGCUGCAGAGAUGUAGUUUCCCUUGUGGCUGGUGUACAGGUGGUGCAUGGUUGUCGUCAGCUCGUGUCGUGAGAUGUUGGGUUAAGUCCCGCAACGAGCGCAACCCUUGUCUUAUGUUGCCAGCACGUGAUGGUGGGGACUUAUGAGAAACUGCCGGGGUUAACUCGGAGGAAGGUGGGGAUGACGUCAAAUCAUCAUGCCCCUUAUGUCCAGGGCUUCACACAUGCUACAAUGGUCGGUACAACGCGCAGCUACCUCGUGAGGGGACGCGAAUCGCUGAAAGCCGGCCUUAGUUCGGAUUGGGGUCUGCAACUCGACCCCAUGAAGUCGGAGUCGCUAGUAAU
rnacentral:rRNA from 1 species